AAAAUUCAGUCGGUUCGGUUUCUGCUUAGGCCCCUUCUUAUUUUUGAAUUCAGACUCUUGCUGCCGUUGCCGUCUUCUUCGUUCGUAUAUACACAACUGCUGCCCUCGUGGGAAUUUGCUGGAUAUGGUCACAUCAAGAUUUACCCGCCCCAAGGGAUCAGAUGGUGAAUCCAGUCCCAACCUGUACGUAGCUAACUGUGGGCCUGCUGUUGGUUUAUCUUUUGACAAGAUUGAAUCAGUGUUCAGCACAUUUGGCAAUAUGAGAGGGGUCUAUCCAGCCGAUGAAUCUGGUACCCGUGUCAUUGUUUCCUACCUUGAAGAGAGCUCUGCCCAAGCAGCAUUGAAGGCAUUAAGUGGACAUCCUUGCAAAGAUCUUGGAGGCCGUGUUCUGCAUAUACGUUACUCAAUACUCCGACCAGCUUCUCAGGUUCAAGUAAAUGAUUCAGUUCCAGUAUAUCUGGUGGCUUCAGAUUUGAAGAUUCCAGGCAUUUACUUGGUUCAUGACUUUAUCACCAGUAAAGAAGAGGAGAAACUCCUUGCCGCUGUUGAUAACAGGCCUUGGAAACGUCUUGCAAAAAGAAGGGUUCAGCAUUAUGGCUAUGAGUUUCUGUAUGAAACAAGGAAUGUUGAUACAAAGCAGUACCUAGGUGAACUCCCAUCAUUUGUUCUUCCCAUACUUGAAAAGAUCUCCUCAUUCCCCAACUUUGUUGCUGCUGGAUAUGAUACUCUGGAUCAAUUAACGGUCAAUGAAUACCCACAUGGGGCAGGCUUGUCCCCACAUAUAGACACUCAUUCAGCAUUUGAGGGAUUAAUUUUCAGCCUUUCAUUAGCAGGGCCUUGCAUUAUGGAAUUCAGGAGAUAUUCACAAGGAACAUGGCUUCCUCCACUGACCACCAGUAAUGAUGUGACAGAGGAAGAUAAUGACCACUGUUCAAAUUUCACUAGAAGAAUCAUUUUUCUUCCCCCUCGGUCAAUGCUUCUGUUAUCUGGAGAGGCACGGUAUGCUUGGCAUCACUACAUUCCACACCAUAAGGUUGAUAUGGUGGGGGACAAUAUUAUCAGAAGAAAUUCAAGAAGAGUCUCCUUUACUUUUCGUAAGGUGGGACCUAUUGAGUGGUAGUGUUGAUGUCUCUGCAUUUGUGCUUAGUGCUACAGCUAAUUGUGGCAGUGAUUAUAGAAAAAAGUCAGAGCAGGACCCUGCUGCUGUGAUUAUCCACAAUACUGUGAUUCUCAGAGAUAAAACAGAAGACCAAAUUUUGGAAGAGGUCAACAUUAUUGUGUUCUGAACUAUAGCCAAGUUCUUAACCUUCAACCGGGUGGCUUUGUCACUAAUCAGGGUAGUGAGCUCCAGUAAUUCAAGUUUCUAUUGGUGUUACCCACGUUGCUGAUAUUGAAGAUGUAAAAUUAGAUGUAAUUCUUUUUAGCCAAAACCCUUCUUUUCUUAUAGCAGCAAAGUUUGCCAUAAAUCACUGAGUUGAAUGGUACUAAACAAUAAUUGAGAUGGAGUUGGGAUAAGUUUGGGGAUAUAAAUCACUGAGUGGACUUAAUUAAUAAGCAAUUAGAUAUUUUGGAA